AGUCUGGUGCCAGCAGCCGCGGUAAUUCCAGCUCCAAUAGCGUAUAUUAAAGUUGUUGCAGUUAAAAAGCUCGUAGUUGAAAUUUUGAUUGUAGCGGUCAGUCUCACAACAGUGAGUGCUAGAUGUGCUGUGGUCAUGUUUCGUUGGAACGUGUGUGGCAUUCAGUUGUCGUGCAUGGGAAGACGAUCGUUUACUGUGAAAAAAUUAGAGUGUUCAAAGCAGGCUUAUGCCGUUGAAUAUAUUAGCAUGGAAUAAUAAGAUAGGACCAGGGUACUAUUUUGUUGGUUUGUGCACCUUGGUAAUGAUUAAUAGGGACAGUUGGGGAUAUUCGUAUUGCGGUGUCAGAGGUGAAAUUCUUGGAUUUCCGCAAGACGAGCUACUGCGAAAGCAUUUAUCAAGGAUGUUUUCAUUAAUCAAGAACGAAAGUUAGGGGAUCGAAGAUGAUUAGAUACCAUCGUAGUCUUAACCAUAAACUAUGCCGACAAGGGAUUGGCAGGGUGUGUUUAUGCCUCUGUCAGCACCUUAGGAGAAAUCAUAAGUUUUUGGGUUCCGGGGGGAGUAUGGUCGCAAGGCUCAAACUUAAAGACAUUGACGGAAGGGCACCACCAGGAGUGGAGCCUGCGGCUUAAUUUGACCCAACACGGGAAAACUUACCAGGUCCAGACAUAGUGAGGAUUGACAGAUUGAGAGCUCUUUCUUGAUUCUAUGGGUGGUGGUGCAUGGCCGUUCUUAGUUGGUGGAGUGAUUUGUCUGGUUAAUUCCGUUAACGAACGAGACCCCCGCCUGCUAAAUAGAUGGUCUAGUGAUUUUUCACUGGAAACAUCUUCUUAGAGGGACGUGCGUUCUAUUAGACGCAGGAAGAUGGGGGCAAUAACAGGUCUGUGAUGCCCUUAGAUGUCCUGGGCCGCACGCGCGCUACACUGAUGCAUUCAACGAGUUGCCUUCACCGAGAGGUGUGGGAAAUCUUGGAAUGUGCAUCGUGAUAGGGAUAGAUUCUUGUAAUUUUUAAUCUUGAACGAGGAAUUCCUAGUAAACGCAGAUCAUCAAUCUGCAUUGAUUACGUCCCUGCCCUUUGUACACACCGCCCGUCGCACCUACCGAUUGAAUGGUCCGGUAAGCCUCGGGAUUGUGAUGACUUUUCUUCAUUGAGAGGUCGUUGCGAGAACUUGUCUAAACCUUAUCAUUUAGAGGAAGGUGAAGUC
rnacentral:rRNA from 1 species